AUACGUAGGGGGCGAGCGUUGUCCGGAAUGAUUGGGCGUAAAGGGCGCGUAGGCGGCCCGGUAAGUCUGGAGUGAAAGUCCUGUUUUUAAGAUGGGAAUUGCUUUGGAUACUGUCGGGCUUGAGUGCAGGAGAGGUAAGUGGAAUUCCCAGUGUAGCGGUGAAAUGCGUAGAGAUUGGGAGGAACACCAGUGGCGAAGGCGACUUACUGGACUGUAACGGACGCUGAGGCGCGAAAGUGUGGGGAGCAAACAGGAUUAGAUACCCUGGUAGUCCACACUGUAAACGAUGAAUGCUAGGUGUAGGGGGUAUCGACCCCUUCUGUGCCGCAGUCAACACAAUAAGCAUUCCGCCUGGGGAGUACGGCCGCAAGGUUGAAGCUCAAAGGAAUUGACGGGG
rnacentral:rRNA from 1 species